rnacentral:siRNA from 1 species
AAGCAACAGAUGACAGGAUGCA